CUGAAUUCACUCUUAAGCUUCAUUAGAGCUGACAGGAACUGCUCAGUAAGUGAUCAGCAUCUUCUCAGAGUGCAUAACGAUGCUGUGAAACUGCAGAGACAGUCAGCAGAUGGUGUCUCCGCUCCGGAAAAAUCUACCCUUUGGCCUCCGAAUCCGUCCCGUCCAAUCAGGAGCGUCAGAUCCCUGUUGGGUGCGCUGGGCCCCCUCCCGCCCCGGCAUCUGGUCCAGCGAUGGAAAUAAUGAAAGAUCCCAAAGAGGAGCAGAGAGGAGAUUUUAGGAAAGCUUUGGAGGCUUAAUUCCUCUGUGGCACCCUGGGGGCUGAAGGACGCCGGACCAAAGGGCUUGAAAUGGUUCAAAGAUGAAUGAGUGACUGUGCUUUCAAUUCCCAGAGGUUUGUUUUUGCAGUGUCAGGGUUUUAUUGCAGCUAUAACAAGCUAAGAUGUGACAGAGUAGUGAAUGAAAGAGAGUUCAGAUCACUCUAA